rnacentral:rRNA from 1 species
AUUGAACGCUGGCGGCAGGCCUAACACAUGCAAGUCGAGCGGAUGAAGGGAGCUUGCUCCUGGAUUCAGCGGCGGACGGGUGAGUAAUGCCUAGGAAUCUGCCUGGUAGUGGGGGAUAACGUCCGGAAACGGGCGCUAAUACCGCAUACGUCCUGAGGGAGAAAGUGGGGGAUCUUCGGACCUCACGCUAUCAGAUGAGCCUAGGUCGGAUUAGCUAGUUGGUGGGGUAAAGGCCUACCAAGGCGACGAUCCGUAACUGGUCUGAGAGGAUGAUCAGUCACCCUGGAAGUGAGAAAGGGUCCAGACUCUGACGGGAGGCAGCAGUGGGGAAUAUUGGGCGAUGGGCGAGAGCCGGAUCCAGCCAUGCCGGCGGUGGGAAGAAGGUGCACGGACGGGAAAGCACUUUAAGUUGGGAGGAAGUGCAGUAAGUUAAUACCUGACGGUAUUGACGGUACCGAGAGAAUAAGCACCGGCUAACUCCGUG